rnacentral:misc_RNA from 1 species
UGCAUUUGCAAUUGCAUGCAAACCAUUGUGGAUUCAACCCCCUUCAUUUUGAAGGAUGGAAAAAGGAGAUGGACAAAAUCAACAAUGCUAAAUUAAUCAUAGUUUGAUUCGUGCUUGUUGUAAGUUAUAUGCUGUUGAAUCGUCAGACAUUGAAUACCUUGGUAGCAAAAUCAAUUCUAGAGUUAUAAUGAGCUUUAAACAUAGCCAAGUUUCUUGGCUUGACUGGGCAAAUGAUUUGCGAGAUUGAACUUGUACCGAAAUUUCUUUUAUCGUAAAUAGUUUCACUAUUUUUUUUUAUCUUAAAAAAAAAAAAAAA